rnacentral:tRNA from 1 species
GUCGGAGUGGCGGAACUGGUAGACGCGCUAGGUUGAGGGCCUAGUGCCCGAUUACGGGCGUGCAGGUUCAAGUCCUGUCUCCGACA